rnacentral:rRNA from 1 species
UACGGAGGAUGCAAGCGUUAUCCGGAAUGAUUGGGCGUAAAGCGUCCGCAGGUGGCUGUGUAAGUCUGCUGUUAAAGAGUCUAGCUCAACUAGAUAAAGGCAGUGGAAACUACACGGCUAGAGUGCGUUCGGGGCAGAGGGAAUUCCUGGUGUAGAGGUGAAAUGCGUAGAGAUCAGGAAGAACACCGGUGGCGAAGGCGCUCUGCUAGGCCGCUACUGACACUGAGGGACGAAAGCUAGGGGAGCGAAUGGG